rnacentral:rRNA from 1 species
UACAGAGGUCUCAAGCGUUAUCCGGAAUGAUUGGGCGUAAAGCGUCCGCAGGUGGCUAUGUAAGUCUGCUGUUAAAGAGUGAGGCUCAACCUCAUAAGAGCAGUGGAAACUACAUGGCUAGAGUGCGUUCGGGGCAGAGGGAAUUCCUGGUGUAGCGGUGAAAUGCGUAGAGAUCAGGAAGAACACCGGUGGCGAAAGCGCUCUGCUAGGCCGCAACUGACACUGAGGGACGAAAGCUAGGGGAGCGAAUGGG